UACGUAGGGGGCAAGCGUUGUCCGGAUUUAUUGGGCGUAAAGAGCGCGCAGGCGGUCGUCCAAGUCGCGUGUGAAAGCCCCGGGCUCAACCUGGGAAUGGCAUUUGGGACUGGAAGGCUCGAGAUCGGGAGAGGAGGGUGGAAUUCCCAGUGUAGAGGUGAAAUUCGUAGAUAUUGGGAAGAACACCGGUGGCGAAGGCGGCUCUCUGGACCGAUACUGACGCUGAGGCGCGAAAGCGUGGGGAGCAAACAGG
rnacentral:rRNA from 1 species